AUGUCCUAGGUUUUGCUGCAAAAACGAUAUGCUGGCUAAAUUAGCGAUCUCCUCAAAGGAAUACAAAUAAUUUUAGACCAAAAUAAAGACCAACCUUGGUCCUUUAGGUAUCCAAUAGUAAUGGGGUCAAAGUAGCUUGACAAUGAGAAUAAUCAUCUUUCACUCACGUAAAUUCAAUGUAUAGGGAAACAGAAGGGUCCAUGUUCCACUUACAAGCAUCAAGGUCAAGCAUUUGCA
rnacentral:misc_RNA from 1 species